rnacentral:rRNA from 1 species
UACGUAGGGCCCGAGCAUUAUCCGGAAUUAUUGGGCGUAAAGAGCGUGUAGGUGUUCCUACAAGUUGGUCGUUAAAUCUCAGAGCUCAACUCUGAGGCCGCGAGCAAAACUGUAGGAAUUGAGGUUUACAGGGGCAAGCAGAAUUUCUGGAGUAGGGGUGAAAUCCGUUGAUACCAGAAGGAAUACCAAUGGCGAAGGCAGCUUGCUGGGUAACACCUGACACUGAGACGCGAAAGCGUGGGGAGCAAACGGG